rnacentral:piRNA from 1 species
UGGCAGUCGAUGUGCUCAGAUGUACUAACC